rnacentral:rRNA from 1 species
AUUGAACGCUGGCGGCAGGCCUAACACAUGCAAGUCGAGCGGAUGAAGGGAGCUUGCUCCUGGAUUCAGCGGCGGACGGGUGAGUAAUGCCUAGGAAUCUGCCUGGUAGUGGGGGAUAACGUCCGGAAACGGGCGCUAAUACUGCAUACGUCCUGAGGGAGCAAGUGGGGGUUCUUCGGACCUCACGCUAUCAGAUGAGCCUAGGUCGGAUUAGCUAGUUGGUGGGGUAAAGGCCUACCAAGGCGACGAUCCGUAACUGGUCUGAGAGGAGGAUCAGUCACACUAGAACUGGGACACGGUCCAGACGCCUACGGUAGGCAGCAGUGGGGAAUAUUGGGCAAUAGGCGAAAGCCUGAUCCAACCAUGCCGCGUGUGUGAAGAAGAUCUUCGGAGUGUAAAGCACGUUAAGUUGGGAUAAAGGGCAGCAAGUUAAUACCUUGCUGUAUUGACGUUACCAACAGAAUAAGCACCGGCUAACUUCGUG